CGGUAAUGACGAAGCUUCCCUCAGUGAUGAGGAAGAAGGGAAACGCUUCCGAUGGGCCUGCUCUGCCGCUGUGCACGUUGCAUCCUUGCUGGCCCCCAUCCAAGAUGGCAUACACCACUGGGACCUGUGCUGACCAGCCUUGGAUGUUAUACCACGGAUUGAACCAGGAGUGACCGGAAACCACCGGAGAUCCAGCCUGAGUGGCUGUGAAGGUCUCUGCUUGACCGGCGAGCAGAUCUCUGCGUUUCUUUGCACCGCUGCUGACAUCAAAACCCUCUGGGCUGAGACUGUAGGAGCUGGAUCCCGACUCCUGGCUUGUGUUGAAGAAUGCAUGUUUCAAAGGGAUGGAACGUAGUGCCGGAUCUAGGGAGAGAUGCUUCCUCUGCGAAACAAAAUAAAUAGAACAAGACAGUAGCUGGAAAUAAGACAGCCUAAUGUCCCCCCGGUCACCAGACUGAGUGGGGAGUAAGGAUAAUUCUUGUGAAGCAAACUGUUCUUCCAUGUCUGUACAGGUCAGACCUUAAUUCAGGUCAUCAGUGUGCAGUUAUUUACAUUUAAGAGGGCACUGUCAGGGCAAAAACAAAGAGAAGGAAGAAAAAUCCCAUCUGUGCCAUUCAAAACACCUCCGUUCAUUUGGGCCCUGGUCCAGAAAAGCACUUAAGCGUGCAUGAACACCUUGCUGGGAGGCAGCGUGUGACAUCCUUGCCUGGGGGGAGGCAGCAGGGGUUUUAUGUCGACUUCAGUGGAGCCAGGCAUCACAGCCAGGAGCCAAAAAGCACCUUGCUCUUCACCCCAGCCUUUGCAUCAUCCUCAUGAGAUGCUCUUCAAGGUACCCCCUUCUAAUGAUUUCUGAUGUGCCGCUGCUGAGCCCAGGCUUGGAAGGUCCUUUUUUUUUUUUUUUUUUUUUUUCCCUUAAUCAAGUGACCCUGCCUGCAAGAAGCGUAAAGCUCCCUGGAAAUGAGGACUUAUUCCUUCCUAACGGGAUGACUGGAGGCCAGCAAGAUGUCACCUUGAGGCAGGAUAGCUUUUCUCAGACAAACAGCUUCUGCAAUGAGCGUACGGAGACAGAGGGAGUUCUGCCAAGAAGGUUGGAUCUGGUCCCCAUGGGGCUUUACAGAAACAGCUCUGCAGCUGGAGCCCACUGUGGGCAGAGGAUGACACACUGAUGUGAUGCCUUCAUCAGGGUUUGGCUGGCCACCUGGGGGAAGAACCAGCUAUUAUCUGGAGGUGGCUGUGAGAUUCGGGCUGCUGCUGCUGGCAGGCCUUCGGGGAAGCAACCGGAGUACUGAUCUGGUGUAGCCAGGUCUGUGUGUGUGAGGUAAGCUUAUAAUCUCCUCCUUAACGUGAGAUGGGAAGUAGUUUUCCAGGCUGCUGCCACUCUGUGAGUUUUCAGCUAUCUCGGGCUCAUCCUGCUUUAUCUGUUGCAUGUAAAAUAUCCCAUGUAAAGCUAAGCAAAGCUGCAAAGCUACUGUAAUCCUUCCUAAAGCCGCACUGCCCCUCGGUGCGAAUAUUGCAUUAGAUGAUAUGCUUAUUAAACGUGUCCAACAGAAGUUUUACUUCCAGCGAGAGCUGAUAGUCUUGAAAUGCUGUUAAGGUAAUAAUUACAGUACAUUGUCCUCGAUCCGGAUUUCAGAUGGUAAUUGUUCACACCUGCUUCUAUGCCAUUUAAGUGACAGCAGAUGCAAGUGAAGGGCUGUAGCAUUUUUUGUUGGGGCUGGGUAAUGUGUUGGGCCUGGGAGACCCGUGUUGGCUCCUUGGGGAUGUUUAGUCACCUCUGUUUGCCUUUAUGCCAGUGCUGUUCCCAGGCUACCCCACAGCUCUCUCCUCUGUUUUAGACCAUCCUUCUGGAGAACUGGAAGAAGGUGCAGGGCUGCCUGGAGUGCACCCAGCACCCACUUUUUCCUGGUCAUCCUUCCUGCAUGUGAAUCAGUGCCUCUGUCUGGGGCCGGAUGAAGGCGGGGAUGAAGGCUCCUGUCCCUCCCUUGCAUGUCAGGGUUGUCCCCACACCUUCCUCUCCAGCUUACCUGUUUGUAAAUGGUGAUGGUGCCAUUUAACUGCUUCAUAAAGUGCCUUGGGUUCUGCUGGCAAACUGAGCGAUGGAAACUUCACAGUCAGAGGAAGAGAAAGGGAAGGGAAAUCUUUGAAUUGGGACCACCAUGGCUCAUUUUUCAUAUUUAUGACACUAUUAGUCCCAGGUUGCUCUCUAUUUGCCUGGUCUACAAAGAGCAGGUCAUUAGCCAAACCCUGUCCUGGACGUAAGGGACAGACUCAUGGACUUCAGUUUGUCCCUGUGAAGGCCCUGGCCCCUCCACUCAUAAACACCUGGGUUUUCAGUGAGAUUUUCAGAGUCUUCAGGCCAGCGUGCAGCCCUUUUGGAGGGAGGCUGGCUGGCUGGCUGUGUGUGGGCUUCACCAUUGCUCUUUGGGGCAUCUGCGUCCGUUUCUCCCUGUGACCUCAGGGACCCAUCUCAGUGUAGUACAUCAGGACCUCGUCUCUUCCCCUCGAGUUUGACAGGAGAGGAAAUGCUGUAUUUGUACAUCCUGAGUGUAUAGAGUGGGGUGGGACAUGAGCUGCACAGUGACAUUUGCUAAAUUGUGGUACUUCUGUUCGCCAUCCUCCUGCUAUUUCUCUGCAGGAAUCCCUUCUCCUCCUCCUGAACAAAGGAGUCCCCCAAAUGCUGCUUUUCUUGGGGGGUAGCAUGCUUAUUUCUCUAGCAUCAUUUCUGUAGCAUCCAGCAUCACAGGGCGAGACAGGAUUUUUGCAUAUAGUCAGAGUGAGCCUGGGCCUUCCUUUUCAUCUCCUUCAUGGCUUGCCAAUGCAGCCACUGACCUGGGACAUGUGGGAUGGAGGCAACUGAGUGCCUUAGCAGCAUGAUGGUGAUGGGCAAUAUCCUUGGAAUAAACGACAUCAUCUCUGGGCA
ensembl:lncRNA